rnacentral:rRNA from 1 species
GGUUUUUAACUUAGGUUUGGGUGGCGGACGGGUGAGUAACGCGUAAAGAACUUGCCUCACAGGUAGGGACAACAUUUGGAAACGAAUGCUAAUACCUAAUAUUAUGAUAAUAGGGCAUCCUAUAAUUAUGAAAGCUAUAAGCGCUGUGAGAGAGCUUUGCGUCCCAUUAGCUAGUUGGAGAGGUAACGGCUCACCAAGGCGAUGAUGGGUAGCCGGCCUGAGAGGGUGAUCGGCCACAAGGGGACUGAGACACGGCCCUUACUCCUACGGGAGGCAGCAGUGGGGAAUAUUGGACAAUGGACCGAGAGUCUGAUCCAGCAAUUCUGUGUGCACGAUGAAGUUUUUCGGAAUGUAAAGUGCUUUCAGUUGGGAAGAA